CCUCGCCUGCCGUUGCGGCUGCCCCGCCUACGCACGCCUGCAGCGCCCGAGCCAUGCCACUGCCCAACGCUGCUCUAUUGUACUACUACUAUCUACUGUAGCUGCUACUAGUUAGCUUUUGGUUUUCUACGUUGGCUAAGCCCCUAAACAGCGAAAAUUCGUUGGCGUGCACGAGCUCGCCUGCUCACGUUAUCUGUAGGCGUCGGUCCUCGUCGGGAUAUGGAACACACAUCGUAUUCCAGCUCGUAAACGACAGCUCAUUUAAUGGGUGACACUAACGGGAAGAAACAUCGUUUGUAUGGUGCCGGUGACGGACGUUGAGGUGCUAGCGACGCAACGUGUAUCCCUGCCAGACUGAAUUCCGCUCAGGGUCGGCCUACCUACUCCAUUUAACUCCUCAUCUGUCAUCGGCGGCGGCUCAGUCUAUAACAAUCCAUCCCCAAAUCGAAGAAACAAAUCCUAGUUGCACACUGUUCCUCAAUAGAUCCCCAAAUCGGAGCAAGGAAUAGCAGUCGCAGAAAAGUUAGCAAAUCUGAAUCAAGGUGCUGAUCCGGCGGCACUUCCAAUCGUGCCUUGUCUGGACUGUGGCAGGAACGUAGUCGCCUACCUUGAUCGUGGCAGGCCGAACGCCAGCGAGUGAUUCUACAAGUGCCGCAAUCAAAAUCCGUCAGGUGGUGGAUACGAUUUCUACAGGUGGCAGCAAACGUACGCCGACCACCUCACGUCCCUUGGUCCAGCCGCACCCCCAUUAGCGCAAAUCGAGCCAGGAUAGGAGCAAGGCGGCCAAGCUUUGGGAGUUCAGGAUUCAGGUGCCGCACGCACCACGGGGUAGCAGAACGGCAUGCCGGAUGGCACCCAGUUCGUUUCUUCAGUCAGCGCCGCUGCAGGAUACAUGCUCGCCGCGCUUCCAGCUGCUGGGCGCCAGGGAGCCAUUGCCGUUGACGGUGCAUCCAUUAAUCUGGUGGUCUCCGUGGCCAACCUCGUCAUUGGCGUGGCAUUCCUUUUGUUGGUUGUGGCCGACAUGGUCAUGAACAUGCUUGGUUAGGCGUCAGCUGCCAAUAAGGGAGCACGACGUACCAUUGUACUCGCAAAUCAAGUAUUAUGACAUUUGUAUCAUAGGUUAGCAGCCAAGUAUGUAAUGGUGUAGGCGCAGCUAGGGUGUUGCUGAUGGCGUACUUUUGUAAUGAUCGAGUUUAAGCCGUGUGAUGUACUCUCGUUUGUGCAACUAAUAUUAAUGAAAGUCUGUUUUUAACUAA